rnacentral:rRNA from 1 species
GCUAACAAUAGCAAGUCGAACGGGAUUAUAGCAAUAUAAUUCAGUGGCGAACGGGUGAGUAAUACUUAUCUUACCUACCGUUUAGUGGGGGAUGAAAUACCGCAUGUUCUGGCUUCGGCCAGCAAAGGAAGUCGCUAGGCUUUCGCUAAAUGAUGGGGAUAAGGCGUAUCAGUUAGUUGGUGGGGUAAUGGCCUACCAAGGCAAUGACGCGUAGUCGGGCUGAGAGGCUGACCGGCCACAAGGGAACUGAGACAAGGUCCCUACUCCUACGGGAGGCAGCAUUGGGGAAUCGAUGGCAAUGAGGGAAACCUUGACCACGCAAUGCUACGUGAAGGAAGAAGGUCUACGGAUUGUAAACUUCUUUACUAGAGAGUACUUCCGCAAGGUUUGCUCUUUGGCAAAAAGUCACGACUAACUACGUGCCAGCAGUCGCGGUAAGACGUAGGUGGCGAACGUUAUCCGGAAUCAUUGGGCGUAAAGGGUGCGUAGAUGGCAAGAUAAGUUAGCGGUGGUAAAUCGAGGCUCAACCUCGUGGAAGCCGGUAAUACUGUUUUGCUUGAGUGCAGGAGAGGUUAACGGAACUCCAUGUGGAGCGGUAAA